UACAGAGGGUGCAAGCGUUGUUCGGAAUUAUUGGGCGUAAAGCGCGUGUAGGCGGCUUUGCAAGUCGGGUGUGAAAGCCCUCAGCUCAACUGAGGAAGUGCGCCCGAAACUGCUAGGCUUGAGUAUGGAAGAGGGUCUCGGAAUUCCCGGUGUAGAGGUGAAAUUCGUAGAUAUUCGCAAGAACACCAGUGGCGAAGGCGGCCAACUGGUCCGGUUCUGACGCUGAGGCGCGAAAGCGUAGGGAGCAAACGAGGU
rnacentral:rRNA from 1 species